UCUAUAUUGUCUCUACGAAGUAACCAUAUGUUACCGCUUCUAUAUAUUGCCUCUCCAACUUAGUAUCAGCGUGACGCCGCGCACAAUCAUGCCCUCCCAUAUUUCUUCCACCAUCAACCCCCUGAACCACGACAUCUCCCUGUCUGGCUCGACCCCUCUUCCUAUCCGGCACAUUUGCCAUGUAUGCCACAAUGUUGACACACCUGCGCCCACAAGCGGUAUGCCUUUUCCCUUGGCGGUCGACGGGCCUCCGAGAAGGAAUUUGACGGCCUUUGAGUGAGGAAUAAUGUAUGAUAUGUCGAGGCAGAUCCGGAAUGAGACAGGCUGGUCUCCCAAUUCCGACCAUGUCACACGCUCUCUCCGCCAGUGAGGACGCUAUCAACUCUCUAUUAUGCAGCCCUCCCGUCAAGAGUAUAGCGGGACCUUGUGGGGGAGGUGGAAGUAGAGGUAAAAGGGACGUUGUGAAAUGGGAAAAGAGAGAUUGACGCUUGGAUGGAGACGACAGAGUUUCAGGAUAUGCGAAGGCUGGUUGGGCAUAUGUUCCUCCAGAUAUUUCAAUAAUGUCGAGUAGUUGCCAUGAUACAAUGGUCUUGAUCAAUUCUGACGCCUGAUCUUCGUCGAGACCUGAGAUGCUGUUAGCAUGAUGCAGCCUAGCUUGAGAACGC
rnacentral:sRNA from 1 species